GAACGCUAGCGACAGGCUAACACAUGCAAGUCGAGGGGCAGCAUAAAAGUAGCAAUACGUUGGUGGCGACCGGCGCACGGGUGAGUAACGCGUAUGCAACCUACCUAUCAGAGGGGAAUAACCCGGCGAAAGUCGGACUAAUACCGCAUAAAACAGGGGCACCGCAUGGUGAUAUUUGUUAAAGAAAUUCGCUGAUAGAUGGGCAUGCGUUCCAUUAGGUAGUUGGUGAGGUAACGGCUCACCAAGCCGACGAUGGAUAGGGGAACUGAGAGGUUGGUCCCCCACACUGGUACUGAGACACGGACCAGACUCCUACGGGAGGCAGCAGUGAGGAAUAUUGGUCAAUGGGGCGGGAGCCUGAACCAGCCAAGUCCGCGUGAAGGAAGAAGGAUCUAUGGUUCGUAAACUUCUUUUGCAGGGGAAUAAAGUGCAGGACGUGUCCUGUUUUGUAUGUACCCUGAGAAUAAGGAUCGGCUAACUCCGUGCCAGCCGCGGC
rnacentral:rRNA from 1 species